GGCAAUGUUUCUUUAGUAAUCAGGAUCUGAUCUGCAUUAAUAGAACCAGUUGAAGUCCAAAGACAACACACAAACAUCACUGAGACCAUUGUGGAACGUAGGGCUUUGUGCCAGCAACAUGAUUCUGAAAAUAAUGCAUCUUCAUUGGCAGACAAAGAAAAGGAGAUGAGAUGUCAAGUUUUCAAGGCCCAGGAAGAAAGACUGCUAAGGGAAAUUCAUGAAAGGCAUCACAGGAUGACAUUUUUACUGGAGCCAUCUGAUGGUGUGCCUAUAAGGUUCAAAUUUCCAAAUGGAUAGAUAAAAACGCGAAAGUGUUCUUUGUCAGAAUCAAUCCAGACAUUGUUUGAGUUUGUAGGGCAAGAAGAUUCAGCCACUGAAAUGUUCAGUGUAAGAGAAGAUGGAUCAGGCAUUGAGAUCAACAGUAGCCUAUCAGUGGCAAUAAAGGACCAUAACAUAAUUCAUCUGAACAGGAGGUACAGUCCUUGGAAUCUAUUUAGCAUAUUUGUGAUAUAUGUGUCAUCAAUUGAUUUUUUUUAAUGACGAAUGGAAAGCAUAGCAUAGAUAAAUACUAAAACGUAAAGCAUAAAACCUGUUUAAAUGGUUCCUUGUCUCACUUUCACAAAAAUUCUGACCAGGGGUAGACAAUGUCAGUUUUGGAGAGCCACUAUCCUGCAGUUUAGCUCUGUUGUGUUUGAUUAGGUCUGGAGCAUAACUCUGCAGGACAUUUGCUCUCCAGGACUGACAUUUCUCUUUGAUUCAGGCUUACUUUUCUGUAGUGAACCAUUCAUUUUAUCCUAAAUAGACUUUUCAAUAUAACAUUAAGACAGAGAAUUUCACUCCAAUAAAAAAAAUAUCACUAUUUGGAAUGCUAAUUUUAACACCCGAAUGGUCUCACAGUCAGGGGAGAGCUCAUGGGAAAAAUAUGCAGACAAAAGCUGGUCUGCCCAGCCCGCAUGCAGGGGGUGCUUACUUAGUGAUGGAGGGGAUGCCUGUUCUUCACCUCGUGGGGGAGGGGGAAGGUGCUUUUCGCAGGCAUACGCCCUCCUAGAUAUUGCCAUGAACAGCAGCUACGCUAAUUAUUCUCUUUAUUCUCUUUCCGCCUCUGCCUCGGGAUGCCCAUCCCGAGGUAGGAAGAAGUUCCACCAUGUCCAGACGAACGACAGAUGCCCAUCCCCAUGCCCAUCCCGAGGUAGGAAGAAGUUCCACCAUGUCCAGACGACCGACAGAUGCCCAUCCCCAAUUUGAGAUUACACCAGAUACAGCUGCAGACUGACUGACCAUCCCAGCUCCAUCUAAGGCAAUUCCACCAGCUGCCAAGAGAAAUAUGACAAUCGGACCAUCCCAGCUCAGACCACUACAUCCCCAACCAAGAGCAAAGACGGACUAUUUGUCUUAUUAAUGCUGAAGUUACAAUAUUUGGUAUUAAAUGCUAAACUAAAAUCACAUGUCACCAGUCUGAGUGCAGCUAUGACACGUCAGAGGGGAUCUGGCCCUCCCGGUUGAGCCUGGUUUCUCCCGAGGUUUUUUUCUCCAUUAAUCAAUCAUUGGAGUUUGGGUUCCUUGCCACAGCAGGGCAGUGUUGGCCUGCUCACCGGGAGACUGCAUUCAUUCAUUUAUUUAUUUAGAAAUUAGAUGUUAUUUAUUAGAAUGAACUUACUCGUUGUAUAAAUACCAUGCACUGUGCUGUGUUUUAACUUUUCUGUUUUUCCUGUUUGCCCCUGUAAAGCUGCUUUGAAA